rnacentral:pre_miRNA from 1 species
AAUUUCAACUGAAAAAGUCAUUAAUAAUAAAGUUGUAUAACUCAUCAAGAUUUAUAACUUAUAUUUUGAUCAUUUCUUCAUCCGACAAAGUGAUUUGCAAGAUUGUUCCCAAAACUAUAUACAGAUGUACAUUUUGUGAACAAUCUUGCAAAUCGCUUUGUCAGAUGAAAAAAUGAUCAAAAUAGAAGUUAUAGGUCUUGAUGAUUUAUACAACUUUGUUAUUGAUGACUUUUUCAGUUAAAGUC